UUGGCCUACGGGGGGCAGCAGUAGGGAAUAUUGCACAAUCGACGAAAGUCUGAUGCAGCAACGCCGCGUGUGCGAUGAAGGCCUUCGGGUUGUAAAGCACUUUUCUGAGGGAAGAGAAAGGACGGUACCUCAGGAAUAAGUCUCGGCUAACCACGUGCCAGCAGCCGCGGUAAUACGUAGGAGGCAAGCGUUAUCCGGAUUUAUUGGGCGUAAAGCGCGUGCAGGUGGUUUGGUAAGUUGGGUAUGAAAUCUCCUGGCUUAACUAGGAGAGGUCGCUCAAAACUACCAGACUAGAGGACGGUAGAGGAAGGUGGAAUUCCCGGUGUAGUAGUGAAAUGCGUAGAUAUCGGGAGGAACACCAGUGGCGAAGGCGGCCUUCUGGGCCGUUCCUGACACUAAGACGCGAAAGCAUGGGUAGCAAACGGGAUUAGAAACCCCGGUAGUCCAUGCCGUAAACGAUGUGAACUUGAUGUCGGUGGCGUAAUAG
rnacentral:rRNA from 2 species